CUGUGGUGAAGGAGAUGAGAAUGGAGUUUCUAUCCCUACAUAGGGCAAGACUUCCAGAAUUUCCAAUGGAUGAGCAUUCCAGUGACUAUUCCCCCAUAAAAGCUCAGGCGGAGAAAAAUGACACCCCAGGGGAUGGAAGAACCAUAAGACGAAAGUCGCCGAGGAAUUUGAAUCGCUGUGUGAAGA
rnacentral:lncRNA from 1 species